GUGGGGAAUCUUGCGCAAUGGGCGAAAGCCUGACGCAGCCAUGCCGCGUGAAUGAUGAAGGUCUUAGGAUUGUAAAAUUCUUUCACCGGGGACGAUAAUGACGGUACCCGGAGAAGAAGCCCCGGCUAACUUCGUGCCAGCAGCCGCGGUAAUACGAAGGGGGCUAGCGUUGCUCGGAAUUACUGGGCGUAAAGGGCGCGUAGGCGGAUCGUUCAGUCAGGGGUGAAAUCCCAGAGCUCAACUCUGGAACUGCCCUUGAUACUGGCGAUCUUGAGUGUGAGAGAGGUAUGUGGAACUCCGAGUGUAGAGGUGAAAUUCGUAGAUAUUCGGAAGAACACCAGUGGCGAAGGCGACAUACUGGCUCAUUACUGACGCUGAGGCGCGAAAGCGUGGGGAGCAAACAGGAUUAGAAACCCUGGUAGUCC
rnacentral:rRNA from 1 species